GGCGGCGCGCUUAACACAUGCAAGUCGCACGAGAAAGUGGAGCAAUCCAUGAGUACAGUGGCGUACGGGUGAGUAACACGUGGAUCAUCUACCUUUUAGUGGGGCAUACCCCCGGGAAACUGGGGACAAUACCGCAUAAGCUCGAAAGAGGAAAGCCGCAAGGCGCUGAAAGAGGAGUCCGCGGUCGAUUAGCUUGAUGGCGGGGUAAUGGCCCACCAUGGCGAAGAUCGAUAGCCGGCCUGAGAGGGCACACGGCCACACUGGCACUGAAACACGGGCCAGACUCCUACGGGAGGCAGCAGUGGGGAAUCUUGCACAAUGGAGGAAACUCUGAUGCAGCGACGCCGCGUGAGUGAUGAAGCCCUUCGGGGUGUAAAGCUCUUUCGACGGGAACGAUAAUGACGGUACCCGAAGAAGAAGCUGCGGCUAACUACGUGCCAGCAGCCGCGGUAAUACGUANGCAGCGAGCGUUGUUCGGAAUUACUGGGCGUAAAGAGUGUGUAGGCGGUGCUCUAAGUCUGUCGUGAAAUCUCCCGGCUUAACUGGGA
rnacentral:rRNA from 1 species